rnacentral:rRNA from 1 species
UACGUAGGUGGCGAGCGUUGUCCGGAUUUACUGGGCGUAAAGGGAGCGUAGGCGGACUUUUAAGUGAGAUGUGAAAUACUCGGGCUCAACUUGAGUGCUGCAUUUCAAACUGGAAGUCUAGAGUGCAGGAGAGGAGAAUGGAAUUCCUAGUGUAGCGGUGAAAUGCGUAGAGAUUAGGAAGAACACCAGUGGCGAAGGCGAUUCUCUGGACUGCAACUGACGCUGAGGCUCGAAAGCAUGGGUAGCGAACAGG